UACGGAGGGUGCAAGCGUUGUUCGGAAUUACUGGGCGUAAAGGGCGCGUAGGCGGGUGGACAAGUCUCUCGUGAAAGCCCACGGCCCAACCGUGGAAUUGCGGGAGAUACUGUCUGUCUUGAGUCCGGGAGAGGAGGGUGGAAUUCCCAGUGUAGCGGUGAAAUGCGUAGAUAUUGGGAGGAACACCGGUGGCGAAGGCGGCUCUCUGGACCGGUACUGACGCUGAGGCGCGAAAGCUAGGGGAGCAAACGGG
rnacentral:rRNA from 1 species